rnacentral:lncRNA from 1 species
UUAGUUUCCUAACAAAAAUUUAUUUUAAAAAUAACUUCAGUAAAUUUAAAUUUGCAAAAAUAGUCUGUGUAGGCACUACGUCAGCGCUAUGCGGGUCAGGCUGGGCCUGAUAGUUAAGUUAAAUACGGCGAACCAUUCACCGUGUCUGAAAAAAGAGAAGGGAAAGAAAAAAUAUACGUAUUAUGAAAAAAAUAAGUACAGAAUACGGUGAAUCAUUCAUCGUGUUUGAACACGGUGAAUGGUUCACCAUGUUCAACUUAACACCCCAACCCGUCCACGGGGUGCUGAUGUGGCGUCUGCGUUGCAAGAUAAGGGUCAUUUUUCCAAACUUAAAUUUACUGAGGCUAUUUUUAAAAUAUUUUUUUUCAGGGGCUAAUUGCAAAAAAAA